GACAGGUGCUGCAUGGCUGUCGUCAGCUCGUGUUGUGAAAUGUUGGGUUAAGUCCCGCAACGAGCGCAACCCUUAUCCUUUGUUGCCAGCGGUCCGGCCGGGAACUCAAAGGAGACUGCCAGUGAUAAACUGGAGGAAGGUGGGGAUGACGUCAAGUCAUCAUGGCCCUUACGAGUAGGGCUACACACGUGCUACAAUGGCGCAUACAAAGAGAAGCGACCUCGCGAGAGCAAGCGGACCUCAUAAAGUGCGUCGUAGUCCGGAUUGGAGUCUGCAACUCGACUCCAUGAAGUCGGAAUCGCUAGUAAUCGUGGAUCAGAAUGCCACGGUGAAUACGUUCCCGGGCCUUGUACACACCGCCCGUCACACCAUGGGAGUGGGUUGCAAAAGAAGUAGGUAGCUUAACCUUCGGGAGGGCGCUUACCACUUUGUGACUCAUGACUGGGGUG
rnacentral:rRNA from 1 species